rnacentral:rRNA from 1 species
UCUCGGAAGGAUCAUUACUGAGAGGUCUAAAAAACCACUAGUUGGGGGUCUCUUCCCCUCUAGUAGUUCCUCACAGUUUUGUGCAAAGUCGGGUCAACUUGGUUGGCUCUGCCUUGUGCUGUAGAUCUGGUUGUUGGCAUAAAAACCCUCCUUUUAGGAGACUUGUGCCACUACUAAGAUCUAGGCUGCUUGAAAAGAGACGUAUGGACCCUUCUUUCAGGAAACCUAUGUCUCGAGUCAAAGCAAGCAAGGCAAGCCUUUGGGGCUCUAGUACUAACUAUCCCCAAAGGUGUUUAUUCUUCUCGUGUAAACCAUGAUGUACGAAAAAGUUAGUUGUUAACUUAAAAACAACUCUUGGCAAUGGAUCUCUUGGUUCUCCCAUCAAUGAAGAGCGUAGCAAAGUGCGAUAAUUAUUGCGACUUGCAUUCAUAGCGAAUCAUCGAGUUCUCGAACGCAUCUUGCGCCUAGUAGUCAAUCUACUAGGCACAGUUGUUUCAGUAUCUGCAACUACCAAUCAGUUCAACUUGGUUCUUUGAACCUAACCGAGCUGGAAAUGGGCUUGUGUUGAUGGCAUUCAGUUGCUGUCAUGGCCUUAAAUACAUUUAAUCCUAGGCAAUUGGCUUUAGUCAUUUGCCGGAUGUAGACUCUAGAGUGCCUGAGGAGCAACGACUUGGUUAGUGAGUUCAUAAUUCCAAGUCAAUCAGCUCUCUUCUUGAACUAGGUCUUAAUCUUUACGGACUAGCGAGAGGAUCUAACUUGGGUCUUCUCUUAAACAAACUCACAUCUAGAUCUGAAAUCAACUGAGAUCACCCGCUGAACUUACGCAUAUAAUA